GACGAACGCUGGCGGCGUGCUUAACACAUGCAAGUCGAACGGUGUGGCGCACGGGUGAGUAAAACGUGGGUGACCUGCCCUGCACUUCGGGAUAAGCCUGGGAAACUGGGUCUAAUACAGGAUAGUGUGGGAUGGGCCUGCGGCCUAUCAGCGUGUUGGUGGGGUAAUGGCCUACCAAGGGGGCGACGGGUAGCCGGCCGGAGAGGGUGGACGGCCACCUUGGGACUGAGGUAGUGCCCAGAGGGAAACGUGGGGCAGCGGUGGGAAACAUUGCGCAAUGAGCGGAAGUCUGAUGCAGCGUCGCCGGGUGGGGGAUGACGGCCUUCGGGUUGUAAACUCCUUUCUCCAUCGACGCGGUAGAUGGAGAAGAAGCACCGGCUAACUACGUGCCAGCAGCCGCGGUAAUAC
rnacentral:rRNA from 1 species